rnacentral:lncRNA from 1 species
UGGGGCUUAUGAAGCAAGGUGAUGGUAGCAGAGGGCUUCAGCAGUGAUCUCUGUGAGCAGAGCCCCACAGUGCGCCAUGUCAGAGCACAGCAGCUCCAGCUGCUCCAACAGGGCCCCACUGCUGCCAGAGAACAACUGCUGCACAGCUGGGAGAGAGGGGGGAGCAACGAGAGAGCAGCGGCCCUGAGAGCACCAGGCUCAGGGCAGGAGGUGGGCAGGAGGCGGGCAGGAGGCACUCCAGCAGCUCCAUGCAGCCCAGGACAGGCCCACGGAGGAGCAGGCUGUCCCCUGCAGCCCAUGGGCACCAGGUCCGUGAUGGUAGUUGUUGCGCGAUCGCCUUGUCCUCAUCUCAACCCAUGAGAUUUUUUUGCAACAAAUUUUGUCCCUAUGCCCUUCUGAGGAGGAAGAGUGAGAGCAGCGUGGGAUGCUGAGCUGCCUACUGGUGUGAAACAACCACAGCCAUAAAGCUGUGCCCCCCGUAUGCAGCUGGUGUAUACAGAUGCAAGCAGAAGGGGAAAGAAGAAAAGAGUAGUUGUUUGUUCUCCUUCACAGCUGUGCAGAACAGAUUCUUCAGCACCUCCGAAGAGCCAGUCUUCAGGACACAGAGGCUGAAUCAUAUCCUGCACUUCCAACAACCGUUAUUAAUCACAAAAAUAUCUUUCCAAAGAAAUACUGCAAAAUCCUUCACUGAAAUCUCAUUGUUGGCUGUUGGUUUCUCCACUGGCAAAUACUCAGAUGAAGCACUGAGAAAUGAAAAGGAGGGAGUUCAUGCACCUGCCUCGUUCUAUAUCCAUCCAGCACGGCACUCUGUGCCUGCACUCAGAGCCAAAUCCACCCAUUG